GAUGAACGCUGGCGGCGUGCCUAAUACAUGCAAGUCGAGCGAACGGACGAGAAGCUUGCUGCUCUGAUGUUAGCGGCGGACGGGUGAGUAACGCGUGGAUAACCUACCUAUAAGACUGGGAAAACUUCGGGAAACCGGAGCUAACACCGGAUAAGAUUUUGAACCGCAGGGUUGAAAAGUGAAAGACGGUGGUGCGGGCUCUUAUAGAGGGAUACGCGCUGCAUGAGCUAGUUGGGAAGGUAACGGCCUACCAAGGGAACUAGGCAUAGCCGACCGGUGGGGGUGGUAGCCCGCACUGGAGCUUGGACGGCGUCCUUGCUCCUACGGGAGGCAGCAGUCUGCUAUCUUACGCAGAGGGCGAAAACCUUGCGGAGCGACGCCGCGUGUGUGGUGGCGGUCUUCGGUUCGUAAUGCCCUGUUACGAGUUAUGAACAUCUUUGUACGUAACUGUGCACAUCGUGACGGUACCUGGUCAGAAAGCCCCGGCUAACUACGUG
rnacentral:rRNA from 1 species